rnacentral:rRNA from 1 species
CGCGGACGCAGCUUACCAUGCAGUCGAGCGGUACAGGGGAAGCUUGCUUCUCGCUGACGAGCGGGGGACGGGUGAGUAAUGUAUGGGGAUCUGCCCGAUAGAGGGGGAUAUCCACUGGAAACGGUGGCUAAUACCGCAUAAUCUCUUAGGAGCAAAGCGGGGGAACUUCGGUCCUUGCGCUAUCGGAUGAACCCCUAUGGGAUUAGCUAGUAGGUGGGGUAAUGGCUCACCUAGGCGACCAUCCCUAGCUGGUCUGAAAGGAUGAUCAGCCACACUGGGACUGAAACACGGCCCAAACUCCUACGGGAGGCAGCAGUGGGGAAUAUUGCACAAUGGGCGCAGCCUGAUGCAGCCAUGCCGCGUGUAUGAAGAAGGCCUUAGGGUUGUAAAGUACUUUCAGUCGGGAGGAAGGCGUUGAUGCUAAUAUCAUCAACGAUUGACGUUACCGACAGAAGAAGCACCGGCUAACUCCGUGCCAGCAGCCGCGGUAAUACGGAGGGUGCAAGCGUUAAUCGGAAUUACUGGGCGUAAAGCGCACGCAGGCGGUUGAUUAAGUUAGAUGUGAAAUCCCCGGGCUUAACCUGGGAAUGGCAUCUAAGACUGGUCAGCUAGAGUCUUGUAGAGAGGGGGUAGAAUUCUCAUGUGUAGCGGUGAAAUGCGCUAGAGAUGUGUGAGAGAAUACCGGUGGCGCAAAGCGCGCCCCCUGUGACAUAGACUGUACGCGUCUACAGUGCGAAAGCGUGUGGGGAGCAAACACGGGAUAUAGAUAUCCCCUGUGUAGUCCCACGCCCGUAAACGCAUAGUGCUGAUUCUGAAAGUGUUGUUUCCCUUUGUAGGAGCUGUGCUUAUCGGCAGCUAACGCGUUGAAUUCUGCACCGCCCUGGGGGAGUACGGCCGCAAGGAUUAAAACUCAAUGAAUUUGACGGGGGACCCCGCCACAAGCGGGUGGGAGUCAUGUUGAUUAUUUCGAUGGCAACGCGAGAUCUUACCUACUCUUGACAUGCCUUGGAACGUCAGCAGAGAUGCUGUUCGGUUGCCUUCAGGUAACUUCUGGAAAAUCAGUGCUUACAUGCUGUCGUCAGCUCUAGGUGCGCAAAUGAUUUGGU